CAAGGAAUUUUCCCCAAUGGGCGCAAGCCUGAGGGAGCAACGCCGCGUGCAGGACGACGGCCUUCGGGUUGUAAACUGCUUUUGCGUGGGACGAUAACGACGGUACCACGCGAAUCAGCCCCGGCUAACUCUGUGCCAGCAGCCGCGGUAAUACAGAGGGGGCAAGCGUUGUCCGGACUUACUGGGCGUAAAGCGCGCGUAGGCGGAUCUUUAAGUCAGGGGUGAAAUCCCGGGGCUCAACCUCGGAAUUGCCUUUGAUACUGGAGAUCUUGAGUCCGAGAGAGGUGAGUGGAACUCCGAGUGUAGAGGUGAAAUUCGUAGAUAUUCGGAAGAACACCAGUGGCGAAGGCGGCUCACUGGCUCGGUACUGACGCUGAGGUGCGAAAGCGUGGGGAGCAAACAGGAUUAGAUACCCCUGUAGUCC
rnacentral:rRNA from 1 species